AUGCUUAACAAAGAAAAUCGAAGGUAAACCGUUUUUUGAGAUAGAUUAAUAAAUUAUGUUUUUUAAAUUAAUUAUUAACUCUUCAAACUUGUCACUUUUCAUUUUUAACUAACUCACUCAAUGUAAUUCAACAAGAGACUUUGCAAAUUCAUUUCCAGUCAAGUUUUCUUUGUUUAAAGAGUUUCCAGGUCAGAAUUGGCAACUAGUUUAUAUUGUAAAUGUGAACCAAAGAUGGAUGUAAACCUCUCUGCAGUUUGGAUGUUCAAUUAUGAGAAAGGAAACAAGAAAAUCAGACCAAGAGAUAGCCAUAAGAUUUACAAUGAAUCUGGAUAUAAAAAAUAAAAGAAACCUUAACUCUUGAUACGAAAAGAAGGAUUCCCAUUUCCACAUAUUUCAUGGUUCUAUUCAACAAGCUAUAAAAGAUGAAGGUGAAGCAAGAGGUGGAAUAGGAUAAAGAAUAGGAUAAAGAGAGGAAAAAUUGUGUGUUCUCCUUUGUCAUUACAAUUGAAUUAAUAGUUUUA